GUGCUCACUUUGACAGCACAUAUAUUAAAAUUGGAAUGAUACAGAGAAGAUUAGCAUGGCCUCUGCUCAAGGAUGACACGCAAAUUCAUGAAGCAUAAUAUAUUUAA
ensembl:snRNA U6 U6 spliceosomal RNA